AACAAAAAUUCGUGCUAACAAAACUGGAAAGCGUACGUUAAAAACUUGGCUAUUAUUUGAAUAUCUUUUUAUUAACGCGCCGUAUGCGAGUGACAUCUGUGAGUGUAAUGAUAUUAGGCGUGAGUAAGUGUAAGAGUACAUUCCACAACGUAUUUCUGUGUCCUUAUAAAUAUUGUUAUCUUAUCCAUUUAAUUAUAUGGUUUAUUUCUUUAAUCGAUGUAUAUAAAGUUAUUAUUUCCUUCUUCAAUAUUCGUAACAGAUUAUUCGAUCAAUAUUUUUGUCAUAUAAAUAACAAAAUACACAUUAAUUUCGCGAGUUAAAUCGGCAAAAAGAAACGACACGUGCGGGAAUCAGUUACAAAAUGGUCAAAGAUGAUAUCUCGCGAAGAACGGGAUCAAUUUAACAGGAAUGAUUUUCUAUUUUGGAAAUCUCAACAGAAAGCUAUUUCUGAAUAUGGAAUUGAAGACCUGAUGGUAAGAUUUGAUUCAAAGGUAAACUGACGAUUCGGAAAAUCAAACGACAAGGCUAUGGAUAAAAAAUAACGUGCGUAUCGUGUCUCUUAUUUUGUCUUCAAUCGACUAACGCACACUGGAAUAUUUGAUUAGGAACUUAAAUGUAUGUGAAUUACAAAAAUUUCAUAAAUAAAGAAAUAAUUAUUUUAUUUAUGAAAUGAAAAUAAACUCAAAUAAUUUGACGCUAAUGAAGAAGUUUCAUUCUGUUAUGUUUCACCUGUCAAGGGUCAAAGAAAGGUCACAUCAAACGAGAGAGAUCUGAGCAAGAAAGUUAUCGAACUUGUUAUGAUUUUGAAGACAAUUUGCCAACGAUAUAACACAAAUAACAGGUGAUAGCAUUACAGUAAGUGAUCAAAUGAUCAAAAAAUUCCGGGAUAAAUUCAUAAAAGAAUCAGAGGGUGUAAGAAAUGAAAGGGAGAAGUACCUUGUCAGCGACAGCGACAAUGAAAUGACAAAAGAAAACAAAAACUGAAAAUGGAAGGCAAAGAAGAAAGUUAUGAUACGAACAGUUUACUCGCUUAAUCAAAUGGAAUACGAUGAUCCUGAGAAAAUGACACCGCAUGAUGCCUGGGCAAAGGAGAAAUCCAGAAUAUGACAUAUAAAGCUUCAAUCUCAGCCAUCAAUCAGUCUCAACAAUCCGAUCGAUGAGAAAUUUCAUGAUGGAUGCACCAAUGUAUGCAGACAAGUUGAUAAAUUUGAUGAAUUAUAUGAACGAGAAAUACCUCGAUGAAUUAUUCGAGAUUAUACCGCAAUACGUUUAUCUUGGAGUGUCGUUUGCACGUUUAUAUCAACUUUACAAAUAUAUUGAUUAAAAAUUUAUUAAGACAAAAAAUAAUUUUUAAUUAAAAAUACAUUUUAGAAUACUUGCGAUAAUAUGACCGAAUAUAAAAUCAGAUAAUGAAAAUAUCGUAAA